UACGGAGGGUGCAAGCGUUAUCCGGAUUUACUGGGUUUAAAGGGUGCGCAGGCGGAUAUGUAAGUCAGUGGUGAAAUCUCUAGGCUUAACCUGGAAAUUGCCGUUGAUACUAUAUAUCUUGAAUGCUGUGGAGGUAAGCGGAAUAUGUCAUGUAGCGGUGAAAUGCUUAGAUAUGACAUAGAACACCUAUUGCGAAGGCAGCUUACUACGCAGAUAUUGACGCUCAUGCAUGAAAGCGUGGGGAUCAAACAGG
rnacentral:rRNA from 1 species